rnacentral:rRNA from 1 species
UACGUAGGGGGCAAGCGUUGUCCGGAAUCAUUGGGCGUAAAGCGCGCGUAGGCGGCCCGGUAAGUCCGCUGUGAAAGUCCAGGGCUCAACCCUGGAAAGCCGGUGGAUACUGCCGGGCUAGAGUCCGGAAGAGGCGAGUGGAAUUCCUGGUGUAGCGGUGGAAUGCGCAGAUAUCAGGAAGAACACCAACGGCGAAGGCAGCUCGCUGGGACGGAACUGACGCUGAGGCGCGAAAGCGUGGGGAGCAAACAGG